UAGGGAAUCUUCNNGCAAUGGGGGCAACCCUGACCGAGCAACGCCGCGUGAGUGAAGAAGGUUUUCGGAUCGUAAAGCUCUGUUGUAAGAGAAGAACGAGUGUGAGAGUGGAAAGUUCACACUGUGACGGUAACUUACCAGAAAGGGACGGCUAACUACGUGCCAGCAGCCGCGGUAAUACGUAGGUCCCGAGCGUUAUCCGGAUUUAUUGGGCGUAAAGCGAGCGCAGGCGGUUAGAUAAGUCUGAAGUUAAAGGCUGUGGCUUAACCAUAGUACGCUUUGGAAACUGUUUAACUUGAGUGCAGAAGGGGAGAGUGGAACUCCAUGUGUAGCGGUGAAAUGCGUAGAUAUAUGGAGGAACACCGGUGGCGAAAGCGGCUCUCUGGUCUGUAACUGACGCUGAGGCUCGAAAGCGUGGGGAGCAAACAGGAUUAGAUACCCUGGUAGUCCACGCCGUAAACGAUGAGUGCUAGGUGUUGGGUCCUUUCCGGGACUCAGUGCCGCAGCUAACGCAUUAAGCACUCCGCCUGGGGAGUACGACCGCAAGGUUG
rnacentral:rRNA from 1 species